GGAAUAUUAGAAAUGGACGAAAGUCUGAUCUAGCAACACCGCGUGUGCGAAGAAGGCCUUCGGGUCGUAAAGCACUUUUUGGAAGGAAUAGGAAGGAAUGUACUUCCAGAAUAAGUCUCGGCUAACUACGUGCCAGCAGCCGCGGUAACACGUAGGAGGCAAACGUUAUCCGGAUUUACUGGGCGUAAAGCGCGUGUAGGUGGUACUGUAAGUAGGGCGUGAAAGCUCCUGGCUCAACUGGGAGAGGCCGUUCUAAACUACAGAACUAGAGGAUGGUAGAGGGAGGUGGAAUUGCAGGUGUAGCGGUGGAAUGCGCAGAUAUCUGGAGGACCACCGGUGGCGAAGGCGGCCUCCUGGACCAUUCCUGACACUCAGACGCGAAAGCUAGGGUAGCAAACGG
rnacentral:rRNA from 1 species